UACGUAGGGUGCAAGCGUUAAUCGGAAUUACUGGGCGUAAAGCGUGCGCAGGCGGUUUUGUAAGUCUGACGUGAAAUCCCCGGGCUCAACCUGGGAAUUGCGUUGGAGACUGCAAGGCUGGAGUCUGGCAGAGGGGGGUAGAAUUCCACGUGUGAGCAGUGAAAUGCGUAGAGAUGUGGAGGAACACCGAUGGCGAAGGCAGCCCCCUGGGUCAAGACUGACGCUCAUGGCACGAA
rnacentral:rRNA from 1 species